ensembl:lncRNA
AUGGCCCCACAACAGCAGGGAGGGAGCUCUCCAACAUGGCCCCACAACAGCAGGGAGGGAGCUCUCCAACAUGGCCCCACUACAGCAGGGAGGGAGCUCUCCAACAUGGCCCCACUACAGCAGGGAGGGAGCUCUCCAACAUGGCCCCACUACAGCAGGGAGGGAGCUCUCCAACAUGGCCCCACUACAGCAGAGAGGCAGCUCUCCAACACGGCCCCUCUACAGCAGGGAGGGAGCUCUCCAACAUGGCCCCUCUACAGCAGGGAGGGAGCUCUCCAACAUGGCCCCACUACAGCAGGGAGGGAGCUCUCCAACAUGGCCGCACUACAGCAGAGAGGCAACUCUCCAACAUGGCCACUCUACAGCAGGGAGGGAGCUCUCCAACAUGGCCCCACAACAGCAGGGAUGGAGCUCUCCAACAUGGCCCCACAACAGCAGGGGGGGGGGCUCUCCAACAGGUGGAGCUCUCCAACAUGGCCCCACAACAGCAGCUCUCCAACAUGGCCCCUCUACAGCAGGGAGGGAGCUCUCCAACAUGGCUCCACUACAGCAGGGAGGGAGCUCUCCAACGUGGCCCCACUACAGCAGGGAGGGUGCUCUCCAACAUGGCCCCUCUACAGCAGGGAGGGAGCUCUCCAACAUGGCCUCCACUACAGCAGGGAGGGAGCUCUCCAACAUGGCCCCUCUACAGCAGGGAGGGAGCUCUCCAACAUGGCCCCACUAAAGCAGGGAGGGAGCUCUCCAUUAUGGCCCCACAACAGCAGGGAGGGAGCUCUCCAACAUGGCUUCUCUACAGCAGGGAGGGAGCUCUCCAACAUGGCCCCUCUACAGCAGGGAGGGAGCUCUCCAACAUGGCCCCUCUACAGCAGGGAGGGAGCUCUCCAACAUGGCCCCACUAAAGCAGGGAGGGAGCUCUCCAACAUGGCCCCACUACAGCAGAGAGGGAGCUCUCCAACAUGGCUUCUCUACAGCAGGGAGGGAGCUCUCCAACAUGGCCCCACUACAGCUGGAAGGGAGCUCUCCAACAUGGCCCCUCUACAGCAGGGAGGGAGCUCUCCAACAUGGCCCCUCUACAGCAGGGAGGGAGCUCUCCAACAUGGCCCCACUACAGCAGGGAGGGAGCUCUCCAACAUGGCCCCUCUACAGCAGGGAGGGAGCUCUCCAACAUGGCCCCAAUACAGCAGGGAGGGAGCUCUCCAACUUGGCCCCACUACAACAGGGAGGGAGCUCUCCAACAUGGCCCCACUACAGCAGGGAGGGCGCUCUCCAACAUGGCCCCACUACAGCAGGGAGGGAGCUCUCCAACAUGGCCCCUCUACAGCAGGGAGGGAGCUCUCCAACAUGGCCCCACUACAGCAGGAAGGGAGCUCUCCAACAUGGUCCCUCUACAGCAGGGAGGGAGCUCUCCAACAUGGCCCCUCUACAGCAGGGAGGGAGCUCUCCAACAUGGCCCCUCUACAGCAGGGAGGGAGUUCUCCAACAUGGCCCCUCUACAGCAGGGAGGGAGCUCUCCAACAUAGCCCCACUACAGCAGGGAGGGAGUUCUCCAACAUGGCCCCACAACAGCAGGGAGGGAGUUCUCCAACAUGGCCCCACAACAGCAGGGAGGGAGCUCUCCAACAUGGCCCCACAACAGCAGGGAGGGAGCUCUCCAACAUGGCAGCAGGGAGGGAGCUCUCCAACAUGGCCCCACUACAGCAGGGAGGGAGCUCUCCAAUAUGGCCCCACUACAGCAGGGAGCUCUCCAACAUGGCCCCACUACAGCAGAGAGGCAGCUCUCCAACACGGCUCCUCUACAGCAGGGAGGGAGCUCUCCACUAUGGCCCCACUACAGCAGGGAGGGAGCUCUCCAACCUGGCCCCACUACAGCAGGGAGGGAGCUCUCCAACAUGGCCCGACUACAGCGGGGAGGGAGCUCUCCAACAUGGCCCCUCUACAGCAGGGAGGGAGCUCUCCAACAUGGCCUCCACUACAGCAGGGAGGGAGCUCUCCAACAUGGCCCCUCUACAGCAGGGAGGGAGCUCUCCAACAUGGCCCCACUAA